CCCUCAUUCCCGGUGGGAACGCUCUGUUCCUCAACAAGGGCAUCAGAGGAGAGGGUGUGGUGGUUAGUUUGUAUUUUUGGCCCACUGCGUCCCAUAUUCUAAGGGAAUUGAGGAUCGCCGGGCAAUCGGUGCGCAGGAUAGCCCUGUGUUCCCUGGGAAGCCACAUGUAAAAUUGGGGCAGGUCCGCUCCCAUGAUUCCUGAUUCCAAGUCAGCCCAUCUGCGGUCGUCCGGUGUUGAGUGCCACAUAGCUAUUUGCGCCAGUUGAGCCGCUAAAUAGUAGUUAUAGAGAUGGGGGAGGCCCAGUCCACCCCCCUCCCUGGGUCUAUACAGUACAUUGCGUGCUACUCUGUGGCGCUUGCGUUG